rnacentral:rRNA from 1 species
GAUGAACGCUAGCGGGAGGCUUAACACAUGCAAGUCGUGGGGCAGCACAGGUAGCAAUACUGGGUGGCGACCGGCGCACGGGUGAGUAACGCGUAUGCAACCUGCCCUGUACAGGGGGAUAGCCCGGAGAAAUUCGGAUUAAUACCCCAUAAUGAUAUUAAGAGGCAUCUUUUGAUAUUUAAAGUUUCGGCGGUACAGGAUGGGCAUGCGUGACAUUAGCUAGUUGGUAGGGUAAUGGCCUACCAAGGCUUCGAUGUCUAGGGGUCCUGAGAGGGUGAUCCCCCACACUGGUACUGAGACACGGACCAGACUCCUACGGGAGGCAGCAGUGAGGAAUAUUGGUCAAUGGGCGCAAGCCUGAACCAGCCAUCCCGCGUGAAGGAAGAAUGCGCUAUGCGUUGUAAACUUCUUUUCCAGGGGAAGAAAAUCCUGUACGUGUACGGGACUGACGGUACCUUGGGAAUAAGCAUCGGCUAACUCCGUGCCAGCAGCCGCGGUAAGAC